rnacentral:lncRNA from 1 species
AUCAGCAUAUAAUAAGUAAGGCAGACCCAAACAGACUAACAAAAAAAAAUCUCCAUCAUAUUUCGAAUUUAGUAAUUAACUAGCAAAAAUUACAUUUUUAUGAAAAAAAUAAGAAAAAUCGAGGAUCUCAUGUGCGAAGAGCCCACCAAACUGUUCGAUUCUCAGCUUCUUCGAACAGAUCUUGCAAGAAAAGGGUUAAGACCGUGCUUAUAAAACUGAAUAAUCAGCAGUUUUGGGCUACUCUUCGAGGGAAAUGGAAAGGGAAAGAGAAAAGGAAAAGUGAAAAGGAAAGUUAGGGAAUUGACCUUGGCUUUGAAGUUUUCCAGUUUUGCGCUUGAGCCCUCCUCCAUUGCAGUAGCUUCUUUGUUGUCUUCAUCUUCAUCCUCAUCGUCUCCAAAGUCUAUGUCGGAGUCGAAGAAGAUCAUCACCUACGGUGCCAUACCAAUGAUACUUUUAAGAAAAUCGUCGCCUACGGUACCAAGAAGAAAUUGUGAAAGCCACAAGGACAAGAAUGAUGAGGACAAGGAAUCGUAUUUCUCAUUGAAUAGAGGUCAAUUGGACUUUUCAUAAAUCAAGAGAAACAAAUUUCUAUGUUUCCAU